AACAGGGAUUGCCUUAGUAGCGGCGAGUGAAGCGGCAAAAGCUCAAAUUUGAAAUCUGGCACUUUCAGUGUCCGAGUUGUAAUUUGAAGAAGGUAUCUUUGGGUCUGGCUCUUGUCUAUGUUUCUUGGAACAGAACGUCACAGAGGGUGAGAAUCCCGUGCGAUGAGAUGUCCCAGACCUAUGUAAAGUUCCUUCGAAGAGUCGAGUUGUUUGGGAAUGCAGCUCUAAGUGGGUGGUAAAUUCCAUCUAAAGCUAAAUAUUGGCGAGAGACCGAUAGCGAACAAGUACAGUGAUGGAAAGAUGAAAAGAACUUUGAAAAGAGAGUGAAAAAGUACGUGAAAUUGUUGAAAGGGAAGGGCUUGAGAUCAGACUUGGUAUUUUGUAUGUUACUCUCUCGGGGGUGGCCUCUACAGUUUACCGGGCCAGCAUCAGUUUGAGCGGUAGGAUAAGUGCAAAGAAAUGUGGCACUGCUUCGGUAGUGUGUUAUAGUCUUUGUCGAUACUGCCAGCUUAGACUGAGGACUGCGGCUUCGGCCUAGGAUGUUGGCAUAAUGAUCUUAAGUCGCCCGUCUUGAAACCACGGACCA
rnacentral:rRNA from 1 species